CACAACCCGACCUGCGCGCGCGCGCGCGCGCGCUUCUUAAAGGAGACGGCUCGUAAAGGGGAAUCGCGCUCUGGAAGCAGCCAGCGCGCGCUAGGGGCCCUGGAUGAGGACCGCGUCUGUGACACACCGCCCACCCCUCAUCCCCGAGGCGGGCACCCGGGAACCUGGGCGGCUCCAUCCUUUCGUCUCGCCCUCCCCGCGCCGUGUACCUAGAAACAACCAGCAGAGGGGAAGAGGAGCCCGCGGGAAGAACCGCAGGCGAGACGGAGAAUGAGGGCCAUUCAGGGUGUGACAGCCGCCUCGGCGAGGCUUAGAGGGACUCACCAGGCAGAUACGCAGGUCAGCUGGUCGAGCAAAAGUAGGCCUGCAAGACGUCGUGAUGAUGGAGAAAAUGAUGGUGACAAAAGAUAACUUUCCAGUGAAUGGUUAUUCGAGAGGGAGAAUUCAGACGUGGAUUUUCUGACUCCCGGUUCAGUGCAUUUCCUGCCACCCUUCAGUGACUUUCCAUAUAGAAAUCCAUUUCUGCUUGUAACAGUUUCAUAACCCGAAGUUGGAGAUGACUUACAUCAAAGACACAAUUAGAAGGCAAUGUGAAAGCAAGGUCAUUGUGUAGAACUGAUAUGGUGCUGUGUGGCGAUAUAAAGUAACAAAAUGUGGUGGGGAGUAAUUGUCAAUAAAUCAAGAAUCGUUUUUUUGUAUAGAGUAAUCCCUCCUUAUCCACAUGGAAUACAUUCUAAGACCACCCGACCCCCCAGGAUGCCUGGAACCCAGGAUCAUACUGAACCCUGUAUAUACUAUGGUUUUUUUCUAUACAUACAUAUCUAUGAUAAAGUUUAAUUUAUAAAUUAGGCACAGUAAGAGAUUGACUACAAUAACUAAUAAAAAAGAACGAUUAUAACAAUAUACUGUAAUAAAAGUUAUGUGAACGUGGUCCAUGUGUUUCUCUCAAAAUGCCUUAUUGUGCUCUGCUCACCCUUCUAGUGAUGGCAGGGGACGACACAAUGCCUGCGUGAGGAGAUGCAGUGAG
rnacentral:lncRNA from 1 species